AUCGGUAUGGUGUAACGGUAUAAGUGUUGGACUACAACUCUGGAGACCAGGGUUCAAUUCCCAGUUCGGUCA